rnacentral:misc_RNA from 1 species
UAUUCUCAACUAUACAAGUUUUUGAAACAUGUAUGGCUUGGAUCUUGGGAUUUGCGGGCUUUCACAAAGUCGGCUAUCCUUAAACGCAUUAGCAGAGCUUUUGCCGCUAACCUCUGGUGUGAUAAUUAUCUAUGCCGUUGAGUUGCGACAUUAUUCAAGCUUAGCUUCUAAUUGUCUGCAAGGACAACUUUUGACA